rnacentral:rRNA from 1 species
AUGAACGCUGGCGGCGUGCCUCAUCCAUGCCAGUCGCGCGAACAGACGAGGAGCUUGCUCCUCUGACGUUAGCGGCGGACGGGUGAGUAACACGUGGAUAACCUACCUAUAAGACUGGGAUAACUUCGGGAAACCGGAGCUAAUACCGGAUAAUAUAUUGAACCGCAUGGUUCAAUAGUGAAAGACGGUUUUGCUGUCACUUAUAGAUGGAUCCGCGCCGCAUUAGCUAGUUGGUAAGGUAACGGCUUACCAAGGCAACAAUGCGUAGCCGACCUGAGAGGGUGAUCGGCCACACUGGAACUGAGACACGGUCCAGACUCCUACGGGAGGCAGCAGUAGGGAAUCUUCCGCAAUGGGCGAAAGCCUGACGGAGCAACGCCGCGUGAGUGAUGAAGGUCUUCGGAUCGUAAAACUCUGUUAUUAGGGAAGAACAAAUGUGUAAGUAACUAUGCACGUCUUGACGGUACCUAAUCAGAAAGCCACGGCUAACUACGUG